UACGGAGGGUGCAAGCGUUGUCCGGAUUUAUUGGGUUUAAAGGGUGCGUAGGCGGCCCUAUAAGUCAGUGGUGAAAGCCUCCAGCUCAACUGGAGAACUGCCAUUGAUACUGUAGGGCUUGAGUACAGACGAGGUUGGCGGAAUUGAUUGUGUAGCGGUGAAAUGCAUAGAUACAAUCAAGAACUCCGAUUGCGUAGGCAGCUAACUAGGCUGUAACUGACGCUGAGGCACGAAAGCGUGGGGAGCGAACAGG
rnacentral:rRNA from 1 species